rnacentral:sRNA from 1 species
AUCACAUCCCCUCACGGCAUCCCUCUUGACCUUCUGGACCGAGUGAUGAUAAUCCGGACCAUGCUGUAUACUCCGCAGGAAAUGAAACAGAUGGAGUUUCUCUCUUGUUGCCCAGGCUGGAGUGCAACGGUGCAAUCUCAGCUCACUGCAACCUCCGCCUCCCGGGUUCAAGCGAUUCUCCUGCCUCAGUGUCCUGAGUAGCUGGGAUUACAGGCACACGCCACCACACCCACCUAAUUUUUGUCUUUUUAGUAGAGAUGGGGUUUCGCCAUGUUGGUCAGGCUGGUCUUAAACUCCAGACCUCAGGUGAUCCACCUGCCUCGGCCUCCCAAAGUGCUGGGAUUACAGGCGUGAGCCAUUGUGUCCGGCCAAAAUCAGGACGUUUCGUACAAGGAUCUGAGUUCUGAGCCUGUCUUGAGAAAAGGGAAGACUGCAGACAACACCUUGCAGCAGUGGUGGCCGCGGGUGGAGGGGCUGCCUCCCCAGGGUGUUUGCUGGCCAAGCACUUCACCCUCACCUGGCUCAUCGCAGCCGCUCUGGCCUGCUGGGGCUUUCCAAGGCCUU